rnacentral:rRNA from 1 species
CCUACGAGGUGCAGCCGUGAGGAAUAUUGGUCAAUGGGCGCGAGCCUGAACCAGCCAAGUAGCGUGAAGGAUGACUGCCCUACGGGUUGUAAACUUCUUUUAUACAGGAAUAAAGUGAGGCCCGUGUGCCUUUUUGUAUGUACUUUAUGAAUAAGGAUCGGCUAACUCCGUGCCAGCAGCCGCGGUAAUACGGAGGAUCUGAGCGUUAUCCGGAUUUUUUGGGUUUAAAGGGAGCGUAGAUGGGUUGUUAAGUCAGUUGUGAAAGUUUGCGGCUCAACCGUAAAAUUGCAAUUGAUACUGGCAGUCUUGAGUACAGUUGAGGUAGGCGGAAUGCGUGGUGUAGCGGUGAAAUGCUUAGAUAUCACGAAGAACUCCGAUUGCGAAGGCAGCUCACUGGACUGCAACUGACACUGAGGCUCGAAAGUGUGGGUAUCAAACAGGAGUAGAUACCCUAGUAGUC